UUUCAUAGACAAAUAAGGUAAUAUUUAUUCAUUUCGCUCCACUUUUCAUUUUUGAUUUCAGUUGUAUAUUUUUAAAGAACUUUACAGACAUUUUCAAGGAUUCCAUAGUUAUACACAUUUCUACCUUUGUGGUGAAAAAAAAAAAAAAAAUCGCAGAGGACCCUUUCAAGUUAGAAUAUUUACUUGUACAAUUAUUAUUUUUUACAUCGAACAGUAAAAAGAUCAUAGAAAAAAAAAGGCAUUAAACCAAAAAAAAAAAAAAAGUUUUGUGAUGUGUGCACCAAACUAUAUAUCCAUACACACACACACAAAAGUCUGUACCUCAUACCGUUCAAGUCACGCGUGGCAGAUCUGGCCAUUUAAGUCGUCACAAAUACUGCUGCACCUAGUUUACCUUUGAUAUAGUGUAGCAUAUUUGAAUGCUAUUUUGCAGAUUUUUAAUGACUACCAUUUACAUAAAUAUUUUGGAUAAUAAAAAGUCCACUGACCCUUUACUAAACAGUACAUUUUGGGCUAUUGCCAGUCUUCUAAACACAGACUGACUGAGGUCUGUUGAAUAUUUGAAAAAGAUAAAAUAUUAAAAAAACUGAACACCCUUAAAUUGCAAUGACCAUUGCAAACUCAAGUUUUUAGUUAUAUACCUUAAUAUAUCCUACACCGUAUCAAAAGUUACAUUGAAAAAUUAAACUGUAGAAGAAUAUUUGUUUCAGAUACAGAAUAAGAUUUUGUACAAUUUGUAAAGUACAGAAGUAAAGCAGUGUUCUAAAAAUGCCAGUUAAACCCCCCCCCCAAAAAAAAAAAAAAAAACACGUUAUUCAUAUUAUUGGCUUUGGCCCAUUAUGAAUUAUACUUGGCAUUAUGACAUGAGGUUCAUAGGCAAGUAGAAAAUGUAUCAGUAUAAUGCAUUCUCACAAUGGGUAAAACAUACAGUAUUAAUAUCCAUCACAUGCAUCUGUUUAAAAGGAAGACAAAUAAAAUAAAACCAUUUAAAAAUCUAAAAACAAAAAAACACAACCACAAACACUUCAUUGCAUAUAUCCUCAAAGAAAACCUUAAUGCAUUUUAUUACAAAUUUUUCAUAAGGGGUUUAUCCUAAAGAAACAUGUCUGCUGCCUUUGCAAGCUCUCCCCUUCACCCCCAGUCCAGAUUUUCUGUGGCUGUCCAAUCACAGGCUUCCCAAUGCAAUUCAAUGAAAAGUCUUUGAGCUAAACAAACCAGGAAGUAACAGGACUGGUUGUCUGAUUCACAGCCAGCAUGGCUAACAAGGUUAAUUCGUAAAAGCACCAAUUUCUAUUGAAAUCUACACUUUGUCAAAUAAAAAAUGAAAAACAAAACAUUAAAAACACACACACACACAAACACUUCACACAUAAGUCACUUCAGCAAGCUAAAGUGUUUUCUGUGUGUGGAGUGUUACUUUAAGUAAAAUAGCACUAACCCUGAAUAUUAGUUCAUCCUUUCAAGAGAAUAAAUAACAUUAAAUGUAUAAUGUAUUAAGUAUCUGAAUUAUAACCAUACUCACAUUAAAU